UAACUGCCUGUGCACCAGUUAGCUAUAUAAGGCCGUGCCUCAGUACUUACUGCAGGGCCCAGUACUUAGAAGAUUCUAAAUAAAAGCCUACUGAGUGAAUGAAUAUAUUGAAUAACUGAACUGAUGUUGCUUGGAAAUAAGACCACUUUGACCGUUUCAAGUAGCAGAUAUUGCAAGGUGGCACCAUCUUAUCCUCUAACUCUUCUACUGAAAUAAAGCAGGAAUUAUAGAUCAAGCUUUUCUUCUUUUGUGGGUGGGGGAAAACCCAGGAAUGAUUCAAAUAAUUAUUAAUAGUUGGCCUGAAGUGGUUUUGUAUUUACUUCAGUACAAGAGUAAUGGACCCACAGUUGCAACAUGGCAGCAGAAUGCUUCCGUAUGAACGAUUAGAUAACACUGAGAUAUGUUCCUCCUUUGCCUAAAAUGACAUUAUGGAUUGCUGCUUCUUUCGCUUAGAUGUUAGGAGCGAGAUGAUCACUGUCACGGAAACCCUGUGUACUACUUCUCCACUGUUACAAGGGUUCCUUUUAAAGUUUCCUCAGUGUGAACCCCUGGGUAAAGACCAUCCUCCAUCACCGUGAGCCCUAUCCAAGAGUCAGACCUGAGCCAAUUUAGACUGUAGACCAACGGAAGGAACAAGUUAAAGUCCGAUCUGCAAAGCAGUUCUCCAGUUCCCAACCACAUACGUGUUGAAGGAGCUUACAAAAAGCAACUUCUGAACACCUACGGCACGAGUGACAACCGAGUAGAUGUUACUUCCCGUGUUUCUUUACUGCUUUUGCCUGACCUCCCACAGGUGCUUUUGUUACCUCAUUCUCAAUUCCGAGCUUUCUUCCUGCUCGGGUAGCUCAACAACAGAGACUGUCAAUCCGGUUGAUUAUUUUAUGUGUCCGCUGUGUUGUUGUAUGAACCUGAAACAUGCACUGGGGCAGUUUGUAAUGAUUCCCAGGAAUCGACUGUAUAUAUCCCUUCAACUCUCACUUGGUGGCAUUGAGUUUUUACAUUAGAGAAAUCGGUGAAGGCUACAGAUUGGAGCCUUUCCUCCAGUUGUUAAAUAUUUACUAGCAUAUCACUUAAUUAACAUAUUAACAUUAUUUCCUCUCCCCUUGACCAAAGGAGUGAUGGUUCUACCUUAAUUCAAAGAAUGACUCACCAACAAAGACUUUGAAGCCACAUAUUUACAAAGCAAAUACCUUCCCCUCAUUUUCCUGCUGAAACUCUUUUUCUUUCUUUUUCUUGUACCAGGGAUUGAACUCAGGACCUUGCACUUGUGAGGCUGGCAGCAGAACAAUUGAGCUAAAUCCCUAGCCCUAUACUCGGGUUUUUCCACAGCUUUCAGGCCAUAGCUCUAUUCUUAACAACACACCCCACAGUUCGUUACAACAAGCUAAAAUCAAAUUAGAAUGACUGAGCAAUUUUUGGUUAAUUUAUUUCAACCAGUUAAGAGAUAACAGGAUGAUCUUAAUUCCCCUAAUCAAAAGACACUGGCAGACUCAGCUGGAGUGGCUCCCACCAUGCAAUCAGCCAUCGGAGGAUCAGUGUGGCCUCUGCAUACUCCUGUACUGCUGACAGCAUGGCCGAGUCUAGGCUUCUACAUGGUGACCAGGGGAACAGCAGUGUCCCAGUCCUCAGAACAGGCAAGGCUGCCUCUCUUCACCUGUGCUCACUGUCCUGGAAGCAACUCCUCUGUGGCUCCAUGGUGGAAACCCUCAAAUGGACAUGCGAGGAGAUGAGCAGAGAGGAGCUGUGUACCAUGGAGGACUGUGGGAUAAAGUCACGGCUCUGCUCAACUAACCCCACCCUCACCCAGUCAGGAGGCUGUGGUCUGAGGGCUCCAAGGUGCUGGGCACUCCUCUCUGGUCUUAGGGGAGCCCCUCCUGCUGCUCCUCCAUCUUCCUCCCACUGAAUCCUAGCUCUGGACUCAAGCACAGCCUUCUGUGCUGUGCACCCUCCUCCCUCCCUCCCACAGGAAACACAGGUGUCCUGGACACCCUUUUCCCUCUAGCUCCCUUGAGGGGGCUGCAGGGUGACUCACCAUGGCUUCUUCCCAUGUGGCUGGUCUGCCAUGGGUAGGACGUCCACAUCCACAGUCGCUCUCAUGGCUUUUUACUAAAACGGCAAGGACUCAUAUGAAAUGGACACUCGUGUGAAAAUAUACCAGGCAUUAUUGUUGGCUGUGGUCACCACCACCCUAUGCUACAGGAGACCCGACAGCAAGUCCUCAUGUCUAUCUGAGACUCUUCCCUCUGGCCACAACUCCUCCAUCCCUCUCCCCUCUCCGCCUCACUUGAGUUCUACCCUGACCAUUAAAGGUGACAUCAUCAGGAUACAGCUCACUCAGAAAGCACCCGGACCACCCAGCCUCCUUGAGGGUUGAGGGUUCUCUGGGAUUCUGCUGGGUGCUACUUAUAAUGGGGCCACUGCGUUUGGCGGUGCCCACAGGGUGGCAGGCAGCAGCAGCACAGGGCCCAUAGGCAGCCUGUGAUGCUCCUCUUGAGAGCCUUCCAGUAUCGGAUGCCUGCUGUUGGCAGGGGCAGAGGUGGUUCUGGAGCGAGAGCGCAGAGCUCCAAGGCCUGGCUGGCGGGACACACUGGAAAUGGCAGGGUCAGGCUGGCAGGAUACGCUGGGAGUGGCAGGGCCAGGGUGGGGGGACAGGCUGGGAGCGGCAGGGACAGGGUUGGGGGACCGUCUGGGAGCAGCAGGGCCAGGCUGGGGGGACGGGCUGGGAGUUGGGAUCCUCUGGGUGGUCAUGGGUGGCUGGGAGCCUCUGCCACCCUGUUCUCCUCGAGGUUUCAGUCCAGGGAAUAAGCAGCCAGUACAGGGGACAGGCUCGCUGGCCAUUCCAAGGAUGUGAGGUGAGAGUGCAGGACUUUUCGGAUACCAUGAUCACUUUCUGUGCAAUCUCUUGCUUAGGCCCCUGGCAGGCCUGGCUCUGUAUCAACAGGAAGGUUGCCAUGCCGUGAUUAUAGUCCUUCUUUCUCAGAGUGUCCAUCACCGUUAGAAGGUCAAAACCCAUCCCGGACAUAUGGCUUAGAAUUGCUCUUUGCGAGCACAGGGAGCGGCUUCGGAGGUCGGGGCAGCCGGACACCCUGGAUCCACUGGUGCUCCAGCACCUUCUGUGCUGUUGGCUGCAUGCUGUGGUCCCGGGUUGUGAGCUUUCUGAUGAAGUGUUUGGUAUUUAGAGAUGAAGUCCGGGUAAGAGAUAAGACAAUGCCAUAAAUGAUAAUCUCCAUUAUCUUGGAUAGAUCCCCGUGACAGAGACGUGUCCCAGUGACCAUCUCGUACAGGAUCACACCCAUUGCCCAGCUAUCGAGGGAAGGGCCUUCAUGUUCUGGGACAAAGUUCUUUCUGGGGCAUAGUAUACCCGCGUGCCACCAACCACAGACGCCUCCUGCCCGUGUGGCGUUGGCCAACAAAGCUCUGGCACCAGCAGGGCCCUGGAUUUGUGCAGAGCUGGGCAGAGCUAGAGCCAUGGGGAGCCUGGGCCCCAGAGGGACAGAUCGGGGUACAGGUGAGCAGGGGAGGGGAGGGGAAGAGCAGGGGGAGAAGGGGAGGGGGCGGGAGGAGGCAGGCAGUAAACGAAGCAGAAGCUGUCUUUAGACUUUGGAGGAGAACAGUGUGUUCCCCUAGCGAUCUGGCCGUUCUCAGGCCCUCAGGGACUUUCUUUUUCCUCGCCUGGGGAUUGCACCGAACUGUUGCCUUGGCCAGGACCCAGGCUGUGGUCAUGGGACCAGUCGGGGCCCAGGAGUCUACAGGCCAGGGCUUGCACCCUGGCCUGGACUCAGUUGGCCCAUCUGUAGGUGCGGCUGAGAGACCCAGGAUAUAGGGUGCAUGAGUAGCAUCUCGUUAAUUCUGCCGCUGUAAGGAUCAGGGGAAGUGGAGACCCCCGCAGCAGGUCCCACCCUCCUGCGAGGCACCACAGCACCAGCCGAAGGUUAAAGGACAGGCAGAGGGAGACAUGGUGACGCUGAGUCAGGUCCUGGACAGUGCUGCUGAUGGCAGCAAAGACAGAGCCCCCCAAGCACAUCUGGCAUUUACUGAAUACAAUCACAAGAAGGAAUCGGAAGCUGGGGAGCUGUAAAUUCACCUAGUGAAUUACUGCCCAACACCUGGCGUGGGGCGCCAGACAGGGCUGUGAGGGGGUUGCACUGCUUAUCUUGGGAGGAUGGAAGAGACCAGUACUGGGACCAGGUGCAAUUAGCAAGCGACCCACAAGGUCAGUGAGAA